rnacentral:rRNA from 1 species
CAAUAGCGUAUAUUUAAGUUGUUGCAGUUAAAAAGCUCGUAGUUGGAUUUCGGUUAAGAGCGACCGGUCCGCCGUUUGGUGUGCACUGGUUGGUUUUAACUUCCUGUAGAGGACGUGCUCUGGGUUUAACGACCUGGACUCGGAGUCUACGUGGUUACUUUGAAAAGAUUAGAGUGUUCAAAGCGGGCUUACGCUUGAAUAUUUCAGCAUGGAAUAACACUAUAGGACUCCUGUCCUAUUUCGUUGGUCUCGGGACGGGAGUAAUGAUUAAGAGGAACAGUUGGGGGCAUUCGUAUUUCAUUGUCAGAGGUGAAAUUCUUGGAUUUAUGAAAGACGAACUUCUGCGAAAGCAUUUGCCAAGGAUGUUUUCAUUAA